GAUGAACGCUGGCGGCGUGCCUAAUACAUGCAAGUCGAGCGAACGGACGAGAAGCUUGCUUCUCUGAUGUUAGCGGCGGACGGGUGAGUAACACGUGGAUAACCUACCUAUAAGACUGGGAUAACUUCGGGAAACCGUAGCUAAUACCGGAUAAUAUUUUGAACCGCAUGGUUCAAAAGUGAAAGACGGUCUUGCUGUCACUUAUAGAUGGAUCCGCGCUGCAUUAGCUAGUUGGUAAGGUAACGGCUUACCAAGGCAACGAUGCAUAGCCGACCUGAGAGCGUGAUCGGCCACACUGGAACUGAGACACGGUCCAGACUCCUACGGGAGGCAGCAGUAGGGAAUCUUCCACAAUGGGCGAAAGCCUGACGGAGCAACGCCGCGUGAGUGAUGAAGGUCUUCGGAUCGUAAAACUCUGUUAUUAGGGAAGAACAUAUGUGUAAGUAACUGUGCACAUCUUGACGGUACCUAAUCAGAAAGCCACGGCUAACUACGUG
rnacentral:rRNA from 1 species